ACACGUACCAUCGUGCAGCUGAAACACAAACAUCUGCCGUUCACUUGUGUGAACCUCUGUGAUGGCAUCGUUGCAGGAUGUGCCCCGUGCCCACCAGAGGGAGUAUGAGAAACACGUGGAGAGCGUUGACAGUCCAAAGAUAACUGCCCAGGAAUGAGAGAAGCCUUCAGAUGCUGCUAUGAAUUACAGG